CGAGCUAAAAACUUAUUUUUAUCAUUAUUAUUCAUGACGGCGAUGUUCAUUUUGUUCAACCGCUAGCUUUACACAGAAAAUCGCCAACAAAUAUUGUAUAAAUUCGAGUAAAAUCGUAUCUGAUUGACAAAAACAACAUUGUAAACACAUAACAACAUGAACAAUGGCGGCCGUGAAGACAAAAUUUUACUAAAUCGGAUCCGAUUCCGGAAGCGGAUAAGGGUAAUUCCGGGUUUGACGAUCAUUUACAAAAUAAAUCCAAG
rnacentral:lncRNA from 1 species